AGGUCAUAGUGAUCCGGUGGUUCUGAAUGGAAGGGCCAUCGCUCAACGGAUAAAAGGUACUCCGGGGAUAACAGGCUGAUACCGCCCAAGAGUUCAUAUCGACGGCGGUGUUUGGCACCUCGAUGUCGGCUCAUCACAUCCUGGGGCUGAAGUAGGUCCCAAGGGUAUGGCUGUUCGCCAUUUAAAGUGGUACGCGAGCUGGGUUUAGAACGUCGUGAGACAGUUCGGUCCCUAUCUGCCGUGGGCGCUGGAAGAUUGAGGGGGGCUGCUCCUAGUACGAGAGGACCGGAGUGGACGCAUCACUGGUGUUCGGGUUGUCAUGCCAAUGGCACUGCCCGGUAGCUACAUGCGGAAGAGAUAAGUGCUGAAAGCAUCUAAGCACGAAACUUGCCCCGAGAUGAAUCUUCCCUGAGCCUUUAAGGCUCCUGAAGGAACGUUGAAGACGACGACGUUGAUAGGCCGGGUGUGUAAGCGCAGCGAUGCGUUGAGCUAACCGGUACUAAUGAACCGUGAGGCUUAACCUU
rnacentral:rRNA from 1 species